CUUGACAUCCAGAGAACUUGGCAGAGAUGCCUUGGUGCCUUCGGGAACUCUGAGACAGGUGCUGCAUGGCUGUCGUCAGCUCGUGUUGUGAAAUGUUGGGUUAAGUCCGCAACGAGCGCAACCCCUAUCCUUUGUGCCAGCGAUUCGGUCGGGAACUCAAAGGAGACUGCCGGUGAUAAACCGGAGGAAGGUGGGGAUGACGUCAAGUCAUCAUGGCCCUUACGAGUAGGGCUACACACGUGCUACAAUGGCGCAUCAAAGAGAAGCGACCUCGCGAGAGCAAGCGGACCUCAUAAAGUGCGUCGUAGUCCGGAUCGGAGUCUGCAACUCGACUCCGUGAAGUCGGAAUCGCUAGUAAUCGUAGAUCAGAAUGCUACGGUGAAUACGUUCCCGGGCCUUGUACACACCGCCCGUCACACCAUGGGAGUGGGUUGCAAAAGAAGUAGAUAGCUUAACCUUCGGGAGGGCGUUUACCACUUUGUGAUUCAUGACUGGGGUGAAGUCGUAACAAGGUAGGCGUAGACGU
rnacentral:rRNA from 1 species